GGAUGUGAGGGCGAUCUGGCUGCGACAUCUGUCACCCCAUUGAUCGCCAGGGUUGAUUCGGCUGAUCUGGCUGUCUAGGCGGGUGUCCCCUUCCUCCCUCACCGCUCCAUGUGCGUCCCUCCCGAAGCUGCGCACUCGGUCAAGAGGACGACCUUCCCCGAUAGAGGAGAGGACCGUUCUUCGGUCAAGGGUAUACGAGUAGCUGCGCUCCCCUGCUAGAACCUCCAAACAAGCUCUCAAAGAUGGGGGACCAUUGUACAAAUUAGGCUGGUGGAGAAGGAGUCAGGAGAGGAAAAGCUUAAUGGACAGAAACUAGAGAAGUGACUGGGACGUUUGUCCUU
ensembl:misc_RNA 7SK 7SK RNA